rnacentral:rRNA from 1 species
AGAAUCAACGCUGGCGGCGUGCCUAACACAUGCAAGUCGAACGAGAAAGUGGAGCAAUCCAUGAGUAAAGUGGCGACCGGGUGAGUAACACGUGACUAACCUACCUUCGAGUGGGGGAUAACAUCGGGAAACCGAUGCUAAUACCGCAUAACAUCGCAAGAUCAAAAGCAGCAAUGCGCUGGAAGAGGGGGUCGCGGCUGAUUAGCUAGUUGGCGGGUAACGGCCCACCAAGGCGAAGAUCGGUA